GGUUGUUUGUAGCUCCAGAUGAUCUAUGGCAGUGUGAAAAAGUCGGAAAUCCAAAUGUUUGAUAGGGAUUGGGAGUGUCUGAAAGGCAUAAAAGAACUUUAUGAAGCAGGUUCAUCUUAACUGAGAUGACCAAUCCCAAUCAGGACACCCAUGGGUUUCUCCACUGGAGAAUAUUAAAGUGUGCUGCUUGUAGAAGAGAAGUGUAGUUGAUGUUGUAAAAAGAAGAGAGAGCUAUGGGGAUAUUAAUCCCUAAUUAUUUGAUGGGAGUCUGCGAUCUG